rnacentral:rRNA from 1 species
GACGAACGCUGGCGGCGUGCUUAACACAUGCAAGUCGAACGGAAAGGCCUCAGCUUGCUGGGGUACUCGAGUGGCGAACGGGUGAGUAACACGUGGGUGAUCUGCCUUGCACUCUGGGAUAAGCUUGGGAAACUGGGCCUAAUACCGGAUAUGAACUGCCUUUAGUGUGGUGGUUGGAAAGUUUUUUCGGUGCAAGAUGAGCUCGCGGCCUAUCAGCUUGUUGGUGGGGUAAUGGCCUACCAAGGCGUCGACGGGUAGCCGGCCUGAGAGGGUGUACGGCCACAUUGGGACUGAGAUACGGCCCAGACUCCUACGGGAGGCAGCAGUGGGGAAUAUUGCACAAUGGGCGGAAGCCUGAUGCAGCGACGCCGCGUGGGGGAUGACGGCCUUCGGGUUGUAAACUCCUUUCGACAGGGACGAAGCUUUUUGUGACGGUACCUGUAUAAGAAGCACCGGCUAACUACGUG